rnacentral:rRNA from 1 species
GGCCAGCAUCGGUUGUGGUCAGGUGAUGAAUGUAUGGAAUUGUAGCUUGCUUCGGGAAGUAUUAUAGCUUGUGGGAUAUACCCACUGGGCAACUGAGAGGUAUUCUUAAGUCAAGGAUGCUGGCAUAAU